rnacentral:rRNA from 1 species
UAGGGAAUCUUCGGCAAUGGGGGCAACCCUGACCGAGCAACGCCGCGUGAGUGAAGAAGGUUUUCGGAUCGUAAAGCUCUGUUGUAAGAGAAGAACGUGUGUGUGAGUGGAAAGUUCACACAGUGACGGUAACUUACCAGAAAGGGACGGCUAACUACGUGCCAGCAGCCGCGGUAAUACGUAGGUCCCGAGCGUUGUCCGGAUUUAUUGGGCGUAAAGCGAGCGCAGGCGGUUUAAUAAGUCUGAAGUUAAAGGCAGUGGCUUAACCAUUGUUCGCUUUGGAAACUGUUAAACUUGAGUGCAGAAGGGGAGAGUGGAAUUCCAUGUGUAGCGGUGAAAUGCGUAGAUAUAUGGAGGAACACCGGUGGCGAAAGCGGCUCUCUGGUCUGUAACUGACGCUGAGGCUCGAAAGCGUGGGGAGCAAACAGG